GCUGGGCAUGGUGGUGCAUGCCUAUAAUCCCAGCUACUCAGGAGGCUGAGACAGGAGAAUCGCUUGAACCCAGGAGGCAGAGGUUGCAGUGAGCUGAAAUCGUGCCACUGCACUCCAGCCUGGGUGACAGAGUGAGACUCUGUCUCAA
rnacentral:SRP_RNA from 1 species